rnacentral:lncRNA from 1 species
CAAACCCUUUGCCAGCGUAAAGUACCCUGGUAACUGGUGUCAAAAUGUCUUUCGGAACAUAACAAAUGAAUUCUCCCCGAUACCUCCUAAGGAUGAUGACUUAGCACUCACUUUCCCUAGAAGUAAUGGCUACAGAGUUGAAGAGGGGCAGAUAAUCCAGGAUCUUCCCAGAAGAGACAUUCCCACAGCAGGCAGGUUGUUGGUGGUACGGUGGGAACAAGUACUCGGGCCAAGGAGAAUCAAGAUAAAGACUACCUCUCCCACUUGUUAGUAAGCUUUCCAGGUAAUUUGCCUGGAUAGUUAUAAAGGCCUGAAAAAUCAAGAUUAUUUCCACCAUUACUAUAACAAAACAGCUAACGAAGAAGUAUAUUCUGGCAAGAAUCAAUAAGAAUUGCAAAGCCUGAGAGGGUCAUCACAGACUUGAGAAAGGUAACUAAGUGAGGAGACAUCAAACGGAGCUAAUGGAGAUAGAGCAUUCUGUAAAAUGGAAAGUGUUUAACAAUCACUGACAGGAAAGGAUAUAUUUCAACAGCGAUGACAACAACAAAACAAAACAACCAAGAACAACUGGAAAUAUAUAUCUGCAGAAG